rnacentral:lncRNA from 1 species
AGGUUGUCACAAGUUCUAGUAAGUGUGGUCCACUCCUAUUACGACUUAUUCACUUGUUUCUGAUUUCUAUUGAGCUCCUAUAUCACAUGUGAUUAUUUACAGCUUUACAUACUCAGUACAUAUUUCGUACUGACGUCCCUCAACGGGGACCUGCAUUUCAUGCUGCAGGCACAGGUACCUCAGCUCAUACACCGCACAAGUAGGAGCCAGGUCAUACAGCUAUUGUUGGUGAGCUCCAGUUUGCUUCGGAGCUUUCUGAGUCGGUUCCUUAUGUUUUGUUCUUGUACAUGAGUCAUGUGUGGGCGGGGGUUUAUCCCGACCCUAGUUAUGUCAUGUAUAUCCUAGAG